CCAAAAUCGCCUCCCCCGUGUUCUGAUUUCUUCUUCUCAAUUUAUAGGACCAAUUGAUCAAUCUUCAUGACCAUUGGAUAAUCUUGAGUAUUGAUUAAAGUGUGCUUUGGCCAAAAAAUGGUUUUGCAAAGAUAAAAGAAGAAAUGAAGUGAUUGGUCCUUCAUGCUUGCUUGUGAAUUUGGUGAAGUUUUUGCAUGGUUUUGGUGAAAAGUUGAAGAAGAGAGUGAAGCUAGCAGCAGGGUAGGGAGGAGGCGCAGCACUGUUCAUGGAGGAAAGGGAAUGUGCACUGUGCUGUCAGCUACAGUGUUCUGUCCUUCUUGUUUCAUUUUUUU
rnacentral:lncRNA from 1 species